AGUCUGGCAGUGGACAACCUUUUCUUUUAUUUUCUCUCCGUACAGCCUGCCCUGGGAUCGCUCCCAGCCGAAGCCUCCUCUGGUCCGCUCCCCGCGGCUCCUUCCGUGCUUCGCUCCGAAGCCUCUACCGGUCCGCUCUCCGCGGCUCCUUCCGUGCUUCGCUCCGAAGCCUCUACCGGUCCGCUCUCCGCGGCUCCUUCCGGGCUUCUACUUCCCCCCAGGGGUGGCACCAGUAUAUAUACGGAUACAGUGUCCAAUCAUAUUAAACCUGCCCUGGGAUCGCUCCCAGCCGAAGCCUCCUCUGGUCCGCUCCCCGCGGCUCCUUCCGUGCUUCGCUCCGAAGCCUCUACCGGUCCGCUCUCCGCGGCUCCUUCCGUGCUUCGCUCCGAAGCCUCUACCGGUCCGCUCUCCGCGGCUCCUUCCGGGCUUCUACUUCCCCCCAGGGGUGGCACCAGUAUAUAUACGGAUACAGUGUCCAAUCAUAUUAAAGUAAGCAAGGCAA